rnacentral:ncRNA from 14 species
GCCCGCGUAGCUCAGAUGGUAGAGCAUUCCCAUGGUAAGGGAAAGGCCUCCGGUUCAAGUCCGGUCGUAGGCU